CUGCAAUGAUGUCUUGAAUUUCUUCACCUGAAUUCACUGUGAAGAAAAAAUUUAACCCUGAGCAAC
ensembl:snoRNA SNORD36 Small nucleolar RNA SNORD36